rnacentral:rRNA from 1 species
GGGAAACCCAGUGCAAUUCGUUGCACUAUCGUUAACUGAAUACAUAGGUUAACGAGGCGAACCGGGGGAACUGAAACAUCUAAGUACCCCGAGGAAAAGAAAUCAACCGAGAUUCCCCCAGUAGCGGCGAGCGAACGGGGAGCAGCCCAGAGUCUGAAUCAGCUUGUGUGUUAGUGGAACGGUCUGGAAAGUCCGACGGUACAGGGUGAUAGUCCCGUACACCAAAAUGCACAGGCUGUGAACUCGAAGAGUAGGGCGGGACACGUGGUAUCCUGUCUGAAUAUGGGGGGACCAUCCUCCAAGGCUAAAUACUCCUGACUGACCGAUAGUGAACCAGUACCGUGAGGGAAAGGCGAAAAGAACCCCGGCGAGGGGAGUGAAAAAGAACCUGAAACCGUGUACGUACAAGCAGUGGGAGCACCUUCGGGUGUGACUGCGUACCUUUUGUAUAAUGGGUCAGCGACUUAUAUUCUGUAGCAAGGUUAACCGUAUAGGGGAGCCGCAGGGAAACCGAGUCUUAACUGGGCGUUAAGUUGCAGGGUAUAGACCCGAAACCCGGUGAUCUAGCCAUGGGCAGGUUGAAGGUUGGGUAACACUAACUGGAGGACCGAACCGACUAAUGUUGAAAAAUUAGCGGAUGACUUGUGGCUGGGGGUGAAAGGCCAAUCAAACCGGGAGAUAGCUGGUUCUCCCCGAAAGCU